GAUGAACGCUGGCGGCGUGCCUAAUACAUGCAAGUCGAGCGGACGGACGAGAAGCUUGCUUCUCUGAUGUUAGCGGCGGACGGGUGAGUAACACGUGGAUAACCUACCUAUAAGACUGGGAUAACUUCGGGAAACCGGAGCUAAUACCGGAUGAUAUUUUGAACCGCAUGGUUCAAAAGUGAAAGACGGUCUUGCUGUCACUUAUAGCUGGAUCCGCGCUGCAUUAGCUAGUUGGUAAGGUAACGGCUUACCAAGGCAACGAUGCAUAGCCGACCUGAGAGGGUGAUCGGCCACACUGGAACUGAGACACGGUCCAGACUCCUACGGGAGGCAGCAGUAGGGAAUCUUCCGCAAUGGGCGAAAGCCUGACGGAGCAACGCCGCGUGAGUGAUGAAGGUCUUCGGAUCGUAAAACUCUGUUAUUAGGGAAGAACAUAUGUGUAAGUAACUGUGCACAUCUUGACGGUACCUAAUCAGAAAGCCACGGCUAACUACGUG
rnacentral:rRNA from 1 species